rnacentral:tRNA from 1 species
UGUUCUGUGGCUUAGUUGGUUAAAGCGCUGCGCUGGUCUAGCGAAUAGUGGGUAGUGGGGUAGUGGGUUCUAAUCCCACCAGAACAC